rnacentral:rRNA from 1 species
AGAGUUUGAUCCUGGCUCAGGAUGAACGCUGGCGGCGCGCCUAACACAUGCAAGUCGAACGGGGUGGAAACACCUAGUGGCGGACGGGUGAGUAACGCGUGAGAAUCUGCCUUCAGGACGGGGACAACAGCGGGAAACUGCUGCUAAUACCCGAUGUGCCGCAAGGUGAAAGAAAUUCGCCUGAAGAGGAGCUCGCGUCAGAUUAGCUAGUUGGUAGGGUAAGAGCCUACCAAGGCGACGAUCUGUAGCUGGUCUGAGAGGAUGAGCAGCCACACUGGGACUGAGACACGGCCCAGACUCCUACGGGAGGCAGCAGUGGGGAAUUUUCCGCAAUGGGCGAAAGCCUGACGGAGCAACGCCGCGUGAGGGAGGAAGGCCUUUGGGUUGUAAACCUCUUUUGCUCGGGAAGAAGGCAGUGACGGUACCGAGCGAAUCAGCCUCGGCUAACUCCGUGCCAGCAGCCGCGGUAAUACGGAGGAGGCAAGCGUUAUCCGGAAUCAUUGGGCGUAAAGAGUCCGUAGGUGGCAACGCAAGUCGGCGGUCAAAGACCGGAGCUUAACUCCGGAGCGGCCGUGGAAACUGCGUAGCUAGAGUGCGUCAGGGGUAGCGGGAAUUCCCAGUGUAGCGGUGAAAUGCGUAGAGAUUGGGAAGAACAUCGGUGGCGAAAGCGCGCUACUGGGCCGGAACUGACACUGAGGGACGAAAGCUAGGGGAGCGAAAGGGAUAGAUACCCCUGUUAGUUCCUAGCUGUAAACGAUGGAAACUAGGCGGUGACCU